GGAGAAACAGCAUGUCCAAUAAUUAUUCAAAUUUUGUCCGCAAAGAAACAGGAAAGAUGCUCCUCUUGUUACAUCACAAGAAGCUGCUAUACUAAAAAGACUGGUACGUGUUUUAGUUUUAGAUGCAUUUUAGCAGUGCUUUCAACAGAACAAAAUGAAAAGCUAACUUUGUAAAGAAAUUGAAUUACCUUCCAAGGUGCACAGUCAAUUUACACAAGCAUUUAUCAAAUUUAUGUUAUUUAUCCAGAACUUAUAGCUUUACUUUCACGAAAUUCCAUUACGGUAUUAUGACUUUAUGUCAAGAAGCUAAAAAUACAAAGUGGCUCACCCUAUUAUGAAUGACAACAUGCAACUUCUAUAUUCAUGCCAGUAGAACAUCCGAACUAAUAACAAAGCACGCAUGCCUUUGUUUUUAGCAAGCAGUAAUAGUUCCACGUAGCAGCUUGUUCACAUCAAAUGAUGAACAGAUUAACACAGACGGGUGUAGUAUACCUUAAUUCUUAUGCUGCAGCCUCCCACUUUCUGCACCGGCAUAGGGAUCAAUGGUAACAUUUAUUACAGUUGGCUUUCUUGCAGAAAAAGAUUCAGCAAGGGCAGACUUAAGUUCAUCAGGUGUCCCAACUAGAUAACCUUUGCCCCCAAAAGCUUCAAUAACAAUGUGAUAAGCAGCGCCAGGGACAAAAGAAGUGGGUGCUGGAUCAUCUUUGAAAGGCCCUGUUAUUUCUUCAGGGCUCCUUCGAUCACCGCCAUAUACACCACCAUUAUUAAAAACUAUCACAACCACAGGUAGCUGAUAUCGAACCAAUGUCUCAACUUCCAUGGCACUGAACCCAAAUCCAGAGUCACCUUCAACUGCAACUACAAGUCGAUUAGGCUCAGCAACUGCCGCUGCAAUGCAAUAACCCAACCCAAUCCCCAUUGUCCCCCAAGUGCCAGCAUCCAACCUAGUCCUAGGCUCUGUCUGUACCAACACAGCUCUCCCAACAUCCAUCGUAUUAGCCCCCUCUGACACCACUAUUGGAGCAGGGCUCCCCACUCCCAAAAUGGCAUCUCUAAUAAUCCUCAUAGGCGUCAAGAAAUUAAAUGGCACAACAUCUUUCGCCAACUGAGCCUCCAUUCUAGACACAUUCUCCUUUGCUUUCUUGGAAAUCGCUUCCACCCACGGAUGAUUCAUCGCCAAACAAAAGGGGUCGUCCUUGAUCUCCUUAUUGAUCAAUUCCAACACCUUUUUUGCGUCUCCGACCAAACCCAAAUGUGGUUUCCUUAUCUCAAUCUCACCCUUACAAAUAUCCACCAGUAUAAAUUUCACAUCCUUAGACCACUUGGGAGGCUCUCCAAAGUGCAACAGCCAAUUAAGCCUAGCGUCAACUACAAGCGCGACAUCACAUUUACCAAAUAGCAAGCGACCUAGCUGCACUUGCUGCAAGCUCAUGGGUAUCUGGCUGCAAGCCUUUUCCCAUUGGCGUAGGCAAGAAUGGGAUUCCAGUGGUUUCCACUAGCUUCCCCAGUUCAUUCUCUGCUCUCGCAUAGGCAACCCCUUUACCAAACACAAUUAGAGGCUUCUCUGCUUUUCUAAGCAACUCCGCGGCUCCUUCAAUUUCUGAGUUUAGAACCUGAUUCCCAUUUGCAAUCGGUUUCGAUUCUGAAGAAUUGAAGGCAGCAGUUACCAAACUCUCUGCCUCAGAUUCCGUUACAGUUUGAUGCAAAACAUCGGAUGGAAGAUCCAAAUAGCAUCCACCGGGGCGGCCAGAAACUGCCCGAUCAAUAACCUGGACAACACGAUUAGGUAUAUCGUUAAUAUCUUUAGCUGUUACUGACAACUUGGAGAAUGGUUUCACUGCCUCUAUCUGAUCAAUCUCUUGAAAGUCUCCCCGACCAGUAUCGUUUUGGUCACAGGAGCCGGAGAUCAUAACCAUCGGCCAGGUAUUGGCCUUAGCGUUAGACAAUCCAGCAAGCCCAUGGACACAACCGGGACCGGAAACAGUAAGAAGCAACCCAGGUCGACCAGUAAGUUAACCGUUGGAAGAGGCGGGAUAGCCAGCGGACUGCUCAUUGUGGAAGGCCAAAAAACGGAUUCCAAGGGAGACAGCAUGGUUGGCGAGGGACUUGACGGGGAUGCCAACGACGCCAAUCACGUGAGUGACGCCGCAGCAAGCGAAAGAUUGGCGGUUGCCAUCGAUGAGGGUUUCGGGGGCAAUCUGCCAUGGAAGGAAAUGAGUAGAGCAGAAAAAGGAUUUUGAUUUAAAUUUUGAUAUGGCGUGUGUUAGCGACGGUAUGCAGUAGAGAGCAGAGCAGAGACCUUGUUUUUAAAGUCCACGUGGAUGAUCACCUACAUUAAUGUAGAGAGAGAUUAUGUAUGAUUUUAAUGUGAGAUUUAAAUGUUUUUAAAAAUAUUAAAAAAUUGCUAGAUUUGUACGGAAGAAGGC
rnacentral:misc_RNA from 1 species